ACCACACAUGGAUAUUGUGAAAACAAAACUAGUAACAAAUAUGAAAAGACCUUGAAAACAUGCAAAAGGAUAUAAAUAGGAAGGUGUAGGGCUGGCAGACACCGCAUGUCUCUUAACAUGAAGACUCCUGUUCGUCCACACCCCUGAGCCAGCUGCUCUUAUGAUCACCCUUCUUAUCCUGGCUCCAGUAUCCCGGAAUCUUGAGGGUCACCAAGGACCAUGGUGGUCUGUGCAUCUUACAACGGACUGGGAGGGGAGCAAAGAGCCCCAAUUUCCCCUUUCACCAGGAGUGGCCAGAUGACACAAUUCUGGACAACAGAGCACCAGGAAGCAAGAAGAUGCCCUGGCCCUCUCAACUUUGUGGAGAUACUGACAGUCCUAGUCUGUCUACCUUCAGAUUGUUCUCACGUGUGACGGGAAAAGAAACACGGGUUUUGUUUAA